AACGAACGCUGGCGGCAGGCUUAACACAUGCAAGUCGAACGCUCCGCAAGGGGAGUGGCAGACGGGUGAGUAACGCGUGGGAACGUGCCCUAAGGUACGGAAUAACUUCGGGAAACUGAAGCUAACACCGUAUGUGACCGAGAGGUGAAAGUUUAUCGCCUUAGGAUCGGCCCGCGUCAGAUUAGCUAGUAGGUGGGGUAAUGGCCUACCAAGGCGACGAUCUGUAGCUGUUCUGAGAGGAAGAUCAGCCACACUGGGACUGAGACACGGCCCAGACUCCUACGGGAGGCAGCAGUGGGGAAUCUUGGACAAUGGGCGCAAGCCUGAUCCAGCCAUGCCGCGUGGAUGAUGGAGGCCUUAGGGUUGUAAAAUCCUUUCGCCGAGGACGAUAAUGACGGUACUCGGAGAAGAAGCUCCGGCUAACUUCGUGCCAGCCGCCGCCGUAAAAC
rnacentral:rRNA from 1 species